UAACAUAUGCCAUUUCUCGUCUAGGUUUUGGCUUGGUUUGAAGAAGGUGAAGAAACAAUUACAGCCUUUGUAGAACCUUUUGUAAUUUUACUUAUAUUAGUAGCCAAUGCAAUUGUGGGUGUAUGGCAGGAAAGAAAUGCUGAAAAUGCGAUUGAAGCCCUGAAGGAGUACGAGCCUGAAAUGGGCAAAGUGUAUCGCCAGGACAGGAAAAGCGUACAGCGGAUUAAAGCUAAAGACAUAGUUCCUGGGGAUAUUGUAGAAAUUGCUGUUGGUGACAAGGGUCCUGCUGAUAUAAGAUUAACUUGUUG